rnacentral:rRNA from 1 species
GCAGCAAACUUUUCAUGUUCUAAUAUUUUCGCAGAUUCAGUCAAUGGCUUGUGGUUAACCAUGAGAGAAUGCUACUGCUAUAAAUUCCAUACACUACAAAACAUAUUCAACCCAAUAUUGCACGACGGACGGCUUUUCCAGCAGUUUGUUGUAGAUACAUACAUCAAGAUUGAAAGCUCCAUACUGGAUUACAUGUGGCAUCAUCAAAAGGAAAUAAGAAAAGAUCUAUACCAAGGCCUUCUGGACAACAUUCGAGCUGGAGAAGAAAAGGGAAAUGCAGUCGGAAAAUGGAGAGUACUUGCAUCAUCAUUUAUUGGAGGGCCACCGGAUAGACUUCGCUGA